AAAUUGUUAUAAUGGCACUUCUUUUUCAAGAAAGCAGAACCAAAAGAAAACCUUUCAGCCAAUUUCCUCAUAGUUUCCCAACCAGGAAUCAAACCCGCGUCUCCUGCAUUGGAAAUACAGAGUCUUAACCACUGGGCCACCAAAGAAGUCCCAUUCUCCUCCUCUUUGAUUUACUAGUGACACUGCCUGCCAAAGGCAGCUUCUGGAAGCCAGAGUACAAGGAAAUCUGUUAAUUUUGUUCAUCAACGUCAGCUUUUCUGGCACAAAGCUGGAUAGAGAAGAACGAAGAGAGAUCUAGAGGGACAACUGGAAGAUAUUCAGCCACCUGCUCUGACAUUUUUUGCUCAGGCUAGGCUUAUCACCUAGAACACCCUCAUUUUCAAUUGUCAUAUAAUCCUCUGCUAUGGUCUAGGAUUCAAGUAUAUGACCUACUUUUAAAUACAGACAUCCCUCUCUCCUGGUUAGCAUUUUCAGCUGUAUCUUUCCCACUGACACUUAACUAUAUACAGCCUUUAUUGCCACUAAAUGUUUCAAAGAUAUGUAAGUAUCCCAUUAAAUUGUAAGCUCAAUUUAUGUUAUGCUUCUUUUCAAUCUCUGUAGCACCUAACACAGUGUUCAGCACAGACCAGUUGAAACAAAUUGUAAUUUUCUUAAUUCUCUCACUUUUUUUUAUCCCCACCCUCUACCUGCCCCGAGGGGCUUCCCAGGGAGUGCUGCUGCUGCUGCUAAGUCGCUUCAGUCGUGUCCGACUCUGUGCGACCCCAUAGACGGCAGCCCACCAGGCUCCGCCGUCCCUGGGAUUCUCCAGGCAAGAACACUGGAGUGGGUUGCCAUUUCCUCCUCCAAUGCAUGAAAGUGAAAAGUGAAAGUGAAAUUGCUCAGUUGUAUCCGACUCUUCGUGACCCCAUGGACUGCAGCCUAUCAGGCUCCUCCAUCCAUGGGAUUUUUCCAGGCAAGAGUACUGGAGUGGGUCGCCAUUGCCUUCUCCUCGUCUCCUCCCAAGUGGUCUCAAUAGUGAUUGAAGGGAGCUGGUGACUGAAAAAUCAAGCAACCUCAUCGAAAUGAUGGAGACGGGGGCAACUCUGAAGUAGCUCCUAAGAGGUUUCC
ensembl:lncRNA